CCCUUAGAUGUCCGGGGCCGCACGCGCGCUACACUGAAGGAAUCAGCGUGGCUUUCUCCCUGACCCGAAAGGGUUGGGAAACCCGUUGAAUCUCCUUCGUGAUAGGGAUUGGGGCUUGAAAUUGUUCCCCAUGAACGAGGAAUUCCCAGUAAGCGCGAGUCAUAAGCUCGCGUUGAUUACGUCCCUGCCCUUUGUACACACCGCCCGUCGCUCCUACCGAUUGAAUGCUCAGGUGAGUCAUUCGGACUUUCAUCAUGCUGGUUUCCAGUUUUGAUGAAGGAAAGUCUUGCGAACCUUAUCAUUUAGAGGAAGGAGAAGUCGUAACA
rnacentral:rRNA from 1 species